GCAGUCGACGAUGACUUUUGUGCUUGCACAAGAUGAUUAGUGGCGAACGGGUGAGUAACACGUGAGUAACCUGCCCCUGACUUCGGGAUAAGCCUGGGAAACUGGGUCUAAUACCGGAUAUGCACCGUGGACCGCAUGGUCCUUGGUGGAAAGACUUGUUGGUCAGGGAUGGACUCGCGGCCUAUCAGCUUGUUGGUGAGGUAAUGGCUCACCAAGGCGACGACGGGUAGCCGGCCUGAGAGGGUGACCGGCCACACUGGGACUGAGACACGGCCCAGACUCCUACGGGAGGCAGCAGUGGGGAAUAUUGCACAAUGGGCGAAAGCCUGAUGCAGCGACGCCGCGUGAGGGAUGACGGCCUUCGGGUUGUAAACCUCUUUCAGUAGGGAAGAAGCGAAAGUGACGGUACCUGCAGAAGAAGCGCCGGCUAACUACGUGCCAGCAGCCGCGGUAAUACGUAGGGCGCAAGCGUUAUCCGGAAUUAUUGGGCGUAAAGAGCUCGUAGGCGGUUUGUCGCGUCUAUCGUGAAAGUCCGAGGCUCAACCUCGGAUCUGCGGUGGGUACGGGCAGACUAGAGUGAUGUAGGGGAGACUGGAAUUCCUGGUGUAGCGGUGAAAUGCGCAGAUAUCAGGAGGAACACCGAUGGCGAAGGCAGGUCUCUGGGCAUUAACUGACGCUGAGGAGCGAAAGCAUGGGGAGCGAACAGGAUUAGAUACCCUGGUAGUCCAUGCCGUAAACGUUGGGCACUAAGUGUGGGGGACAUUCCACGUUUUCCGCGCCGUAACUAACGCAUUAAGUGCCCCGCCUGGGGAGUACGGCCGCAAGGCUAAAACUCAAGGAAUUGACCGGGGGCCCGCACAACCGGCCGGAACAUGCCGGAUUAAUUCGAUGCAACGCGAAAGAACCUUACCAAGGCUUUGACAUGGUGCCAGAACCGACCGUGGAAACACCGGUUUCCCCAUUUGGGGGCUGGUUUCACAGGGUG
rnacentral:rRNA from 1 species